ACACUCCUGGCAUCCAACUGGGCUCCAUGCCAGAGAUAAGGAGCAUUAACAUGCAUGGCUGACUCCAACAGAACGACUGGGACCGAGGAGAGGAGGACAACAGAGUAGAGGAGUGGAGAUCUGUAUGAGGAGACAAGAGGCAAGGAGAGUCGAUGAGAUCUGAAGGAGAGGAGGUGAGGCGCUGCAGUGCUAUGGCUGUAACAUCCUCCAGGGGCAGAUGUACGUGGACGUGGGCUGCUCCAGCCCCAAGGUCAUCACUUGCUCCCACUCACACAAAGGCUUCAAGCACCGUUUCUGCAUUAAGACAGAGAGCAGUGCCAUGGGAAUCAUUCUGACCAGCGGUUGCGCCACGUCUCAGCACUGCCAACAGGAGCUACCCGGGGUGUGGAUCCACUGCUGUGUUUCAGACCUUUGCAACAGCACCCCCCACUGGCGCAGAACGUCCUUACACUGGCUGUGCUCUUUGGCUACCCUGCUGCUCAUACUGUGAAUGCAAGUGUGAGAGAGAAUUUUUGAGCAAAGGAACACUGACUAACCCCCACUUUCAGCCCUACUGGCCAAUCCUGUGGUUGUGUCCUAGACCAAAGUCAUUGGAGGAGGUUGCUCAAUAAGAGGCAUGCACCUGCAUGGAUACGUAGUGGAUGAGAAUACAAUCUUUAUGCAUUGGAUAGCCUGUGAAUAUUGUUAUUUUCAUUUUCCAUGUGCAUCAUAUUCUUUACGAGGCCACAAUGAGAUUAUGAAGGUAGUUGGUCCAAGAAGCGUUUAUGUUGCUAAUAUAUUGAUGCCAAUAACGUUGUGAGUGUUGACACAGUAUAUUUCAAUAGGGUCAUAUGUUGGGGUUGUGGGGGGAGACAGAGAUUGGGUGAUGUUUUGGAGAUACAUUUUGUUUAAAUGGCUAAAUAGGCGUUUCUCUCGGCACAAAAUACAUGCUUUCUUAAAUGGCAUUGUUCAUUUUCAUUUACCUAUUUGGUCAGAUUAAAUCAAAUCAAGCUUUAUUUAUACAGCACAUUUCAGACAUGGAAUGCAACGCAAUGCGCUUUACAGGAAAAAUCGUUAUAAAAAAUGAUAAUGAAAGCUGAAAUAUUUACUACACAAACAUAAGUUACAAAACAAAAGAAUGACAAACUGAACUAAAAAUAUGUGUUUUAAGAUCUUUUAAAUAUGUCCACGAUUUUGCUGCCCCUCAGGUUCUCCGGCAGGCUUUUCCAGAGGCCGGGGGAUAGUCAAAAGGCCAGUGCCUACAAAGGGACCUAUUGGGUACCUAUGUCUGACAUGUACUGGGGUGCACAAUCGUGAAUUGAUUUGAAAACCAAUAGAAAACCUUAAAACCGGUGUGUUGUGUGCUCUCCGUCUGGUCUUGGUCAGUACCCACGCUGCAGCGUUCUGUAUUCUUCGACAGUCUAAUAAUUUAUCUGUGGAGCUAAACUCCUUUGGUGACACAGAAAUCCUCUGGUCAGUCAGUCAGCAAGGCCUUUGGGGUCCUAUUCUGUAUGUCCAGUAGAGGGCAGCACCUUCACCCCCAAGUAGGUUACAGCCGUAGGAUACUCUCUUUACUCCCAUGUUAAAUUGCCUACUUCACGCAUGAACUCGACAAUGGCUGUAUUUUUUUUUAAAUUCUAUAAACAUUUUAGAUAUG